UACGAAGGGUGCUAGCGUUAUUCGGAAUUACUGGGCGUAAAGGGUGUGUAGGCGGUUUAUCAAGUCUGCUGUUAAAUUUCCCGGCUCAACUGGGAAUCCGCAGCGGAAACUGAUUUACUAGAGUAUGGAAGAGAGAGGUGGAAUUCUCGGAGUAGCGGUAAAAUGCGUAGAUCUCGAGAGGAACACCGAUGGCGAAGGCAGCCUCUUGGUCCAUUACUGACGCUGAGACACGAAAGCGUGGGUAGCAAACAGG
rnacentral:rRNA from 1 species